rnacentral:rRNA from 1 species
UACGGAGGGUGCAAGCGUUAUCCGGAAUCACUGGGUUUAAAGGGUGCGUAGGCGGCAUGAUAAGUCAGGGGUGAAAGCUGGCAGCUUAACUGUCAAAUUGCCUUUGAUACUGUUGUGCUUGAAUCAGGUUGAGGUAGGCGGAAUGUGACAUGUAGCGGUGAAAUGCAUAGAUAUGUCAUAGAACACCAAUUGCGAAGGCAGCUUGCUGGGCCUGCAUUGACGCUGAGGCACGAAAGCGUGGGGAUCAAACAGG